UACGAAGGGGGCGAGCGUUGUUCGGAUUUACUGGGCGUAAAGAGCGCGCAGGCGGCUCAUUUUGUCAGGCGUGAAAGCCCCGGGCUUAACCUGGGAACUGCGUUUGAUACGGGUGGGCUAGAGUUCGGGAGAGGAGAGUGGAAUUCCCAGUGUAGAGGUGAAAUUCGUAGAUAUUGGGAAGAACACCGGUGGCGAAGGCGGCUCUCUGGACCGAUACUGACGCUGAGGCGCGAAAAGCGUGGGGGAGCAAACAGG
rnacentral:rRNA from 1 species